CCUACGGGAGGCAGCAGUGAGGAAUAUUGGUCCAUGGACGAGAGUCUGAACCAGCCAAGUAGCGUGAAGGAUGACUGCCCUAUGGGUUGUAAACUUCUUUUAUAUGGGAAUAAAAUGUUCCACGUGUGGGAUUUUGUAUGUAACAUAUGAAUAAGGAUCGGCUAAAUCCGUUCCAGCAGCCGCGGUAAUACGGCGGAUCCUAGCGUUAGCCGGAUUUAGUGGGUUUAAAGGGAGCGUAGGUGGAUUGUUAAGUCAGUUGUGAAAGUUUGCGGCUCAACCGUAAAACUGCAGGUGAAACUGGCAGUCUUGAGUACAGUAGAGGUGGGCGGAAUUCGUGGUGUAGCGGUGAAAUGCUUAGAUAUCACGAAGAACUCCGAUUGCGAAGGCAGCUCACUGGACUGCAACUGACACUGAGGCUCGAAAGUGUGGGUAUCAAACAGGAUUAGAUACCCCUGUAGUC
rnacentral:rRNA from 1 species